GACGAACUGUGCAACCGUUAUUCGGAAUCACUGGGCUUAAAGGGUGCGUAGGCGGUCUUGUAAGUAGGGUGUGAAAGCCCCCGGCUCAACCGUGGAACUGCUGGGUAUACUGGUUGUCUUGAGCCAGCUAGGGGCGAGCGGAACAGACGGUGGAGCGGUGAAAUGCGUAGAUAUCGUCUGGAACGCCGAAGGUGAAAACAGCUCGCUGGGGCUGCGCUGACGCUGAGACACGAAAGCCAGGGGAGCGAACGGG
rnacentral:rRNA from 1 species